GAUGAACGCUAGCGGCAGGCUUAACACAUGCAAGUCGAGGGGCAGCAUGAUGAAACUUUCGGGUUGCAUUGAUGGCGACCGGCGCAAGGGUGCGUAACGCGUGAGCAACUUGCCCUUAUCAGGGGGAUAACCGGUGGCAACGCCGACUAAUACCCCAUAGCAUCCACUUUAGGCACCUUUAGUUGAUUAAAGAACUUCGGAUCAGGAUAGGCUCGUGUGACAUUAGCUAGAUGGCGGGGUAACGGCCCACCAUGGCGACGAUGUCUAGGGGUUCUGAGAGGAAGGUCCCCCACACUGGAACUGAGACACGGUCCAGACUCCUACGGGAGGCAGCAGUGAGGAAUAUUGGUCAAUGGCCGAGAGGCUGAACCAGCCAUGCCGCGUGAAGGUCACGGCCCUAUGGGUCUUAAACUUCUUUUGUAAGGGAGCAAUAAGGUUCACGUGUGGACUGAUGAGAGUACCUUACGAAUAAGCAUCGGCUAACUCCGUGCCAGCCGCCGCGGUAAAAC
rnacentral:rRNA from 1 species